CGGGUGCACUGAUCCAGCCGGGCCUUUCCCUCUGUGGAACCUCAUGGCCUUCACUGGCUGUGCUGGGGAAACAGGACUUUUACUGUGAAAAAAUUAGAGUGCUUAAGGCAGGCCUAUGCUCGAAUACAUUAGCAUGGAAUAAUAGAAUAGGACGUGUGGUUCUAUUUUGUUGGUUUCUAGGACCGCCGUAAUGAUUAAUAGGGACAGUCGGGGGCAUCAGUAUUCAAUUGUCAGAGGUGAAAUUCUUGGAUCUAUUGAAGACUAACUACUGCGAAAGCAUUUGCCAAGGAUGUUUUCAUUGAUAAGGAACGAAAGUUAGGGGAUCGAAGACGAUCAGAUACCGUCGUAGUCUUAACUAUAAACUAUGCCGACUAGGGAUCGGACGAUGUUAUUUCUUGACGCGUUCGGCACCUUUCGAGAAAUCAAAGUGCUUGGGCUCCAGGGGGAGUAUGGUCGCAAGGCUGAAACUUAAAGAAAUUGACGGAAGGGCACCACCAGGGGUGGAACCUGCGGCUUAAUUUGACUCAACACGGGGAAACUCACCAGGUCCAGACACAGUGAGGAUUGACAGAUUGAGAGCUCUUUCUUGAUUCUGUGGGUGGUGGUGCAUGGGCCGUUCUUAGUUGGUGGAGUGAUUUGUCUGCUUAAUUGCGAUAACGAACGAGACCUUAACCUGCUAAAUAGCCCGUACUGCUUUGGCAGUUCGCCGGCUUCUUAGAGGGACUAUCGG
rnacentral:rRNA from 1 species